rnacentral:rRNA from 1 species
GAUGAACGCUAGCGGCAGGCCUAAUACAUGCAAGUCGAACGGUGUCUUCGGACAUAGUGGCGCACGGGUGCGUAACACGUAUGCAACCUACCUUACAUUGGGGGAUAGCCUUUCGAAAGGGAGAUUAAUACCGCAUAAGACAGUAACUAGGCAUCUAGUAGCUGUUAAAGAUUUAUCGAUGUAAGCUGGGCAUGCGUCCAAUUAGCUAGUUGGUGAGGUAACGGCUCACCAAGGCAAUGAUUGGUAGGGGAACUGAGAGGUCAAUCCCCCACACUGGUACUGAGAUACGGGCCAGACUCCUACGGGAGGCAGCAGUAGGGAAUAUUGGGCAAUGGACGCAAGUCUGACCCAGCCAUGCCGCGUGCAGGAUGGAGGCGUUAUGCGUUGUAAACUGCUUUUAUACAGGAAGAAACGACUCUUGCGAGAGGCAUUGACGGUACUGUAUGAAUAAGCACCGGCUAACUCCGUGCCAGCCGCCGCCGUAAGAC